CCUCUCCUCGCCCGACAGCUACUAUGUCUGUGCAUGCGGCGGCUGCCCAAUUCAUAGCGGGACACUAGAUCUCAAGUUCUGCCAUGGAUUUGCCAUUGUUGUGCUAGCACUCUACAUCGUUCGAGGGCGCCGCGGCGGAGCCAAGAAUCAGAAGUACCCUCCCAUGGUGGGCAUUGUGUUCUAACUGUUCCACUUCUCCCGGCUUGAUGGAGCACCUGACGGAGCUUGCCACAUGUACCAAACGGUGCAGCAGCAGUUGAUGUGCAACCCGAAGGUACUGCCGCUCGAGGAGGCCAGUAAGUGCCAAAAGCAGGCUAUCACAGCUAAGCUGGUGGUUGUUGUUGAUGUGGACUAAGGUAUGUGAAAUGGUUACACCCAUAGAGUUGUUCGUUUGAAAUUGUCAGCUACUCAGCUGUGCAUUUGUAGUGUUUUGUAGUCGAAUGCACUGUUUUUGUAUUAUUAGUGGUUGAUUUCGUGGUCCUCAGAUAAUGGAAUAACCAACAUUUGAACAGCCUUGAACAAAAUUGCAUUUGGUCAAGGAAUUAACGUCACUUUGUCUUUGUUAUGGUUGACCUUUUCUCACUGCCUUGUACUGCAUAUCUUCCGGUUCUUAGUAGCUUUCUUGCAACUCUGAACAAAUUUAUUACUGAUCGUUAUCCUCUUGAUUGUACUCAGGUGGCACAAAAACCUUCUAUAUAAAACCUUAAUAGUUUUAUACUUUUUAUGGAAAGCCUUGACAAUUGUAAAUGCCAGCCAUCUAUACACUCAAACUCAAAUAAUCGUAGGGAAUUGAUUUAUAAAUAUAUAGAAAAAGUAGGGAUUAUAAUUUACCUUCAGGUGGCAUUCGACGGCACCUUCAUGGAAGGCCAGAUCUGCGGACGCGCCCCAUUCCUUACCUGGCGGCGACGGCAUUCACGGCGCCCCUUCCUCGCCUCAAUCGACUGCUAUUAAAGGAUGGACAGAGUGCGGUCCUUUGGAACCCAAGGGUGGAAGAAAGACGGAGUGCAGAUUCCUGCUAGCGACAAAGUUUACGAGUAUAUCCUCUUCCGGGGAACUGAUAUCAAGUAUUUGCAAGUUAAGUCAUUACCACCACAGCCGCCACCACCACAAGCAGCUUCCCUGCACAAUGAUCCUACCAUAAUCCAGUCACAUUAUUCUCAACCUGCAUCAACGUCAUCAAGUUUGCCUUCAACUGGGGGUGCAGUUUUACCAGACUUCAGCUCCUAGGCAGUUCAAUAUGGGCUUCAGAGGCCAACCUUCCAGAGUAACCUUCCUCUCUACCAACCAGGGAAUACUCUGUGGGGCUCUUUAGUGGCACCUCUAGCAGGAAAUAAAAUAUCAGAAGAAACUUAAAUAUCAGAAGAUUGAUGCAAUGAUCUGGAAAGCCAUCACAUGCGUGUAGGUGCUCUUGCAUGGAGUUCUUUGCUUUCUUCUGGAAGCCAUGACAAGAGCAUCCUCCACCAUGAUAUCUGUGCUCAAGAAGAUUAUGUUAGCAGGCUUACCUGGCAUAAAUCUGAGCUUGAGUAGAAAGGAGGCUUUCCUAAGGCAUUUCUAAUCAUGUUCUCGCGGCGCACUGGUCAGAAUCUUAUUAAGAAUGAGCUUUCACAGAUCAUCAUAGUUUAGAUAUUUAGAUAACAUACACAUAAGUUCAUUCAUGAGAGCAAAAUGAUCAGCACAGUCAAAUGGUUUAUGCCCUUCAAAAGUU